GAGGCUACAGCCGAUCAAAUAUUUCGGCACGUGCUAUUGAAGCCUACUUAAUUCAGAUAUUAAAAACGGGUUUCUUCCAUGCGGAUCCUCAUCCAGGAAAUCUUGCAAUCGACGUCGACGAAUCGCUUAUAUAUUACGACUUUGGUAUGAUGGGAGAUAUUAAGAGCUUUACGAGGCAGAGGUUAUUAGACGUUUUUUACGCCGUUUAUGAGAAGGAUGCCAAAAAGGUUAUGCAAGGUCUCAUCGAUCUUGGAGCGCUUCAGCCAACCGGGGAUUUGUCAGCGGUGAGGAGAUCAGUACAGUUUUUCUUGGAUAAUUUGCUGAAUCAAAGACCUGAUCAGCAGCAAACUUUGUCG